AGUGCAUGACAAAUAAAGAGGAAUAAUGACUGAAAAUUUAUCAACCAAUGUUUGAACAGUUUGAUUACGCUUUGCCCUCACCAAUGAAUCAUAAACAUAAAGUUGUCGGUCCUUUAUGUCAAACACUAGCAACAACCAAUGAAAGUUCUCUACAAGGUUAACGGGCAUUAGCACAUAGUCCACAAGAUCUCAUGCUACAUUAGCAAGAAUUCUAUAGCCCAUCAUAUAUUCUCCAAUAUCAUCC
rnacentral:lncRNA from 1 species